GUGUCAGCCGCCGCGGUAAGACGAACCGUCCAAACGUUAUUCGGAAUUACUGGGCUUAAAGGGUGCGUAGGCGGCUUCGCAAGUUGGGUGUGAAAUCCCUCGGCUCAACCGAGGAAUGGCGCCCAAAACUGCGGAGCUCGAGGGAGACAGAGGUGAGUGGAACUUGUGGUGGAGCGGUGAAAUGCGUUGAUAUCACAAGGAACACCGGUGGCGAAAGCGGCUCACUGGGUCUCUUCUGACGCUGAGGCACGAAAGCUGGGGGAGCGAACGGGAUUAGAUACCCCGGUAGUCCCAGCUGUAAACGAUGAGCACUAGAUCGAAGGGUCCUCCAUAGCCUUUCGGUCGUAGCGAAAGUGUUAAGUGCUCCGCCUGGGGAGUAUGGUCGCAAGGCUGAA
rnacentral:rRNA from 1 species